rnacentral:lncRNA from 1 species
CGAGAGAAAAAAAAAACAAAGGCAGAACCGAGGGGCUGAAAAAAGAGCCAGGGGAGAGCAGAGAGAACACGAAAAAGCCAGGGGAAGGAGACUAGACAGAGAGAAAAAAAGAAGAAACAGAGAACAGGGGGGAGUCGAAAAAAGAACUGGGGAGAGAACCUAGAACACGAAGAGAAGCCUGGGGAACGGGCAAAUACAGGGGACAGGCAGGAAGAAACCAAGCAGAGAAAACCAAAAACAGAGGUGAAGCGAAAGAAAAACAAAAGCAGAGGAAGAAAGCAACUAGCCGACCAGUCCUCCA